rnacentral:rRNA from 1 species
GACGAACGCUGGCGGCGUGCCUAAUACAUGCAAGUAGAACGCAGUUGCGAACGGGAGAGUAACGCGUAGGUAACUGCCUGGUAGCGGGGGAUAAAUAUUGGAAACGAUAGCUAAUACCGCAUACUACCAGAUGGACCUGCGUUGUAUUAGCUCGGUGGUGGGGUAACGGCUCACCAAGGCAACGAUACCUAACCGACCUGAGAGGGGGAUCGGCCCAACUGGGACUGAGACACGGCCCAGACUCCUACGGGAGGCAGCAGUAGGGGAUCUUCGGCAAUGGGGGGAACCCUGAACGAGCAACGCCGCGUGAGUGAAGAAAGUUUUCGGGUCGUAAAGCUCUGUUGUUAAGGAAGCGGUACUUAACCAGAAAGGGACGGCUAACUACGUGCCAGCAGCCGCGGUAAUAC